UCAAGUGAAGAAGCGCAUACGGUGGAUGCCUUGGCAGUCAGAGGCGAUGAAAGACGUGGUAGCCUGCGAAAAGCUUCGGGGAGUCGGCAAACAGACUGUGAUCCGGAGAUGUCUGAAUGGGGGAACCCAGCCAUCAUAAGAUGGUUAUCUUGUACUGAAUACAUAGGUGCAAGAGGCGAACCAGGGGAACUGAAACAUCUAAGUACCCUGAGGAAAAGAAAUCAACCGAGAUUCCCUUAGUAGUGGCGAGCGAACGGGGACCAGCCCUUAAGUUGUAUUGAGAUUAGCGGAACGUUCUGGAAAGGACGGCCAUAGUGGGUGAUAGCCCUGUACGCGAAAAUCCCUUUGCAAUGAAAUCGAGUAGGACGGGGCACGAGAAACCUUGUCUGAAUAUGGGGGGACCAUCCUCCAAGGCUAAAUACUACUGACUGACCGAUAGUGAACCAGUACCGUGAGGGAAAGGCGAAAAGAACCGCGGAGAGCGGAGUGAAAUAGAUCCUGAAACCGUAUGCGUACAAGCAGUGGGAGCCCACUUUGUUGGGUGACUGCGUACCUUUUGUAUAAUGGGUCAGCGACUUAUUUUCAGUGGCGAGCUUAACCGAAUAGGGGAGGCGUAGCGAAAGCGAGUCUUAAUAGGGCGUCUAGUCGCUGGGAAUAGACCCGAAACCGGGCGAUCUAUCCAUGGGCAGGUUGAAGGUUGGGUAACACUAACUGGAGGACCGAACCGACUACCGUUGAAAAGUUAGCGGAUGACCUGUGGAUCGGAGUGAAAGGCUAAUCAAGCUCGGAGAUAGCUGGUUCUCCUCGAAAGCUAUUUAGGUAGCGCCUCAUGUAUCACUGUAGGGGGUAGAGCACUGUUUCGGCUAGGGGGUCAUCCCGACUUACCAAACCGAUGCAAACUCCGAAUACCUACAAGUGCCGAGCAUGGGAGACACACGGCGGGUGCUAACGUCCGUCGUGAAAAGGGAAACAACCCAGACCGUCAGCUAAGGUCCCAAAGUCAUGGUUAAGUGGGAAACGAUGUGGGAAGGCUUAGACAGCUAGGAGGUUGGCUUAGAAGCAGCCACCCUUUAAAGAAAGCGUAAUAGCUCACUAGUCGAGUCGGCCUGCGCGGAAGAUGUAACGGGGCUCAAACCAUGCACCGAAGCUACGGGUAUCAUCUUUUGAUGAUGCGGUAGAGGAGCGUUCUGUAAGCCUGUGAAGGUGAGUUGAGAAGCUUGCUGGAGGUAUCAGAAGUGCGAAUGCUGACAUGAGUAACGACAAUGGGUGUGAAAAACACCCACGCCGAAAGACCAAGGUUUCCUGCGCAACGUUAAUCGACGCAGGGUUAGUCGGUCCCUAAGGCGAGGCUGAAAAGCGUAGUCGAUGGAAAACAGGUUAAUAUUCCUGUACUUCUGGUUAUUGCGAUGGAGGGACGGAGAAGGCUAGGCCAGCCUGGCGUUGGUUGUCCAGGUUUAAGGUGGUAGGCUGAGAUCUUAGGUAAAUCCGGGAUCUCAAGGCCGAGAGCUGAUGACGAGUGUUCUUUAGAACACGAAGUGGUUGAUGCCAUGCUUCCAAGAAAAGCUUCUAAGCUUCAGGUAACCAGGAACCGUACCCCAAACCGACACAGGUGGUUGGGUAGAGAAUACCAAGGCGCUUGAGAGAACUCGGGUGAAGGAACUAGGCAAAAUGGCACCGUAACUUCGGGAGAAGGUGCGCCGGUGAGGGUGAAGCAUUUACUGCGUAAGCCCACGCCGGUCGAAGAUACCAGGCCGCUGCGACUGUUUAUUAAAAACACAGCACUCUGCAAACACGAAAGUGGACGUAUAGGGUGUGACGCCUGCCCGGUGCCGGAAGGUUAAUUGAUGGGGUUAGCGCAAGCGAAGCUCUUGAUCGAAGCCCCGGUAAACGGCGGCCGUAACUAUAACGGUCCUAAGGUAGCGAAAUUCCUUGUCGGGUAAGUUCCGACCUGCACGAAUGGCGUAACGAUGGCGGCGCUGUCUCCACCCGAGACUCAGUGAAAUUGAAAUCGCUGUGAAGAUGCAGUGUAUCCGCGGCUAGACGGAAAGACCCCGUGAACCUUUACUAUAGCUUUGCACUGGACUUUGAAUUUGCUUGUGUAGGAUAGGUGGGAGGCUUUGAAGCGUGGACGCCAGUCUGCGUGGAGCCAACCUUGAAAUACCACCCUGGCAACUUUGAGGUUCUAACUCAGGUCCGUUAUCCGGAUCGAGGACAGUGUAUGGUGGGUAGUUUGACUGGGGCGGUCUCCUCCUAAAGAGUAACGGAGGAGUACGAAGGUGCGCUCAGACCGGUCGGAAAUCGGUCGUAGAGUAUAAAGGCAAAAGCGCGCUUGACUGCGAGACAGACACGUCGAGCAGGUACGAAAGUAGGUCUUAGUGAUCCGGUGGUUCUGUAUGGAAGGGCCAUCGCUCAACGGAUAAAAGGUACUCCGGGGAUAACAGGCUGAUACCGCCCAAGAGUUCAUAUCGACGGCGGUGUUUGGCACCUCGAUGUCGGCUCAUCACAUCCUGGGGCUGAAGCCGGUCCCAAGGGUAUGGCUGUUCGCCAUUUAAAGUGGUACGCGAGCUGGGUUUAGAACGUCGUGAGACAGUUCGGUCCCUAUCUGCCGUGGACGUUUGAGAUUUGAGAGGGGCUGCUCCUAGUACGAGAGGACCGGAGUGGACGAACCUCUGGUGUUCCGGUUGUCACGCCAGUGGCAUUGCCGGGUAGCUAUGUUCGGAAAAGAUAACCGCUGAAAGCAUCUAAGCGGGAAACUUGCCUCAAGAUGAGAUCUCACUGGAACCUUGAGUUCCCUAAAGGGCCGUCGAAGACUACGACGUUGAUAGGUUGGGUGUGUAAGCGCUGUGAGGCGUUGAGCUAACCAAUACUAAUUGCCCGUGAGGCUUGACCA
rnacentral:rRNA from 1 species